rnacentral:rRNA from 1 species
ACGCGUGAGUAACCUGCCUUUCUAGAGGGGGAGUAACGUUCUGAAAAGAAACGCUAAUACCGCAUGAGACUACAGAGCUGCAUGGCUCAGUGGUCAAAGGAGCAAUCCGCUGAAAGAUGGACUCGCGUCCGAUUAGAUAGUAGGCGGGGUAACGGCCCACCUAGUCGACGAUCGGUAGCCGGACUGAGAGGUUGAACGGCCACAUUGGGACUGAGACACGGCCCAGACUCCUACGGGAGGCAGCAUG